rnacentral:rRNA from 1 species
UCGGAACGUGCCCAAUCGUGGGGGAUAACGCAGCGAAAGCUGUGCUAAUACCGCAUACAAUCUACGGAUGAAAGCAGGGGAUCGCAAGACCUUGCGCGAAUGGAGCGGCCGAUGGCAGAUUAGGUAGUUGGUGAGGUAAAGGCUCACCAAGCCUUCGAUCUGUAGCUGGUCUGAGAGGACGACCAGCCACACUGGGACUGAGACACGGCCCAGACUCCUACGGGAGGCAGCAGUGGGGAAUUUUGGACAAUGGGCGAAAGCCUGAUCCAGCCAUGCCGCGUGCAGGAUGAAGGCCUUCAGGUUGUAAACUGCUUUUGUACGGAACGAAACGGCCUUUUCUAAUAAAGAGGGCUAAUGACGGUACCGUAAGAAUAAGCACCGGCUAACUACGUGCCAGCAGCCGCGGUAAUACGUAGGGUGCAAGCGUUAAUCGGAAUUACUGGGCGUAAAGCGUGCGCAGGCGGUAAUGUAAGACAGUUGUGAAAUCCCCGGGCUCAACCUGGGAACUGCAUCUGUGACUGCAUUGCUGGAGUACGGCAGAGGGGGAUGGAAUUCCGCGUGUAGCAGUGAAAUGCGUAGAUAUGC